rnacentral:rRNA from 1 species
CCUACGUGAGGCAGCAGUGGGGAAUAUUGCACAAUGGGGGAAACCCUGAUGCAGCGACGCCGCGUGAGUGAAGAAGUAAUUCGUUAUGUAAAGCUCUAUCAGCAGGGAAGAAAAUGACGGUACCUGAGUAAGAAGCCACGGCUAACUACGUGCCAGCAGCCGCGGUAAUACGUAGGGGGCAAGCGUUAUCCGGAUUUACUGGGUGUAAAGGGAGCGUAGACGGCAGUGCAAGUCUGGAGUGAAAGGCGGGGGCUCAACCCCCGGACUGCUCUGGAAACUGUACGGCUGGAGUGCAGGAGAGGUAAGUGGAAUUCCUAGUGUAGCGGUGAAAUGCGUAGAUAUUAGGAGGAACACCAGUGGCGAAGGCGGCUUACUGGACUGUAACUGACGUUGAGGCUCGAAAGCGUGGGGAGCAAACAGGAUUAGAUACCCGAGUAGUC